AAGUAGACAUUCUCUAACCCAAGUGGGCAUGGCCUAACCCAAGUGGGUGUGGCCUAACCCCAACUAGACAUUCUCUAACCCAAGUGGGCGUGGUCUAACCCCAAAUGGGCGUGGCCUAACCCUAAGCAGACAUUCUCUAACCCAAGUGGG